AAGUCGUAACAAGGUUUCCGUAGGUGAACCUGCGGAAGGAUCAUUACCAAAUCCAAAAUACCCAAACCCCAUGUGAACUAUUGUUUGUUGUCCUUGGGGGGGAAUGAAAGAGAAAAUUAAAAUUGGUUUACUAAUUUUUUUUAGUGCCAUUUUAUUUUAUAUCCGGACUUCUCCCCCAAAAGAAUCCGGCACUUCGGUGUUUGUGAUUCUUGAUAAACCACAUCUUUUUUUUAUUGGAAUGACUUUUAUUUUAAUUUAAUAAAAGACAACUUUUAACGGUGGAUCUCUUGGCUCGUG
rnacentral:misc_RNA from 1 species